CAUGUACUCCAUCCGUCCCAUAUUAAGUGACUCAAUUUUGUCUAAAUAUGGACGUAUCUAUAUACUAAAAUACGUCUAGAUAGCUGUAAUAGAAAGUCACUUAAUAUGGGACAGAGGGAGUAGUCA
rfam:Brachypodium distachyon strain Bd21 chromosome 2, whole genome shotgun sequence.